UUCUAAAUUAUUACCGAUAAUACGCUAUUUUCAAUCAGAUUCAAUGAUUUUUUUCAAACUUUACGUUUAUUCGACAACGAACGGAAAUUUCAAAGGGAACGAAAUAAAAGACACUCUACAACAGUUUGAUGCUUUUCCAAGUGCCGACAAAGGGCUGAAUUGAGGGGGGACGAGAGGGCCGGAUAAGAUUAAAAGAGAAAUUGGCUCACGAAACGUGCGUGCACCGUUGCAGCAGGCAGCAAUGAAUAAUGAACGGGCAGAACAUUUCGUCGUGGACGUCGAGCGGGCCGAAUUCGUAGAAGAGGAUCGUCCUGCGCGCCCGUCUACUACGAAAUACAGGCGCUAUCGCGUGUGGGCUGCAGGGGUCCUGAGUGGGGGUUCAGGGGCCCGAUCACACGCCGCCCCCAGUGUCGACUACAUGGGAGAGCCGGUUCAAGGUCCCCCAGAGACAGAGUACUGCUGUGAAAGGCAGCGGAGGUUCGGGUGUAAUAUAUGUAAUAAAGUUA